UGAAAAGUUGGUUGUUUUUACAUUGAAGAAUGUAAACAAAAACGAAUAAUGUGCAUUUCGAGCUAUAUGAAUUCAUUCGUAUCUUAAAAAAGAAAGUUUUAAGUUCAAAAAUUCCUAUAUAAUUUUGGUAAAAGCUUAAAAGAACGUUUAUUCAAGUUACCAAGAAUAUAGACAGCUUUUAAUAUUAAUUUAAAUGUCGUGUGGGAAAAGUGUACGAUUGCGUUUAUAUCCCCAAGCAAUAGCUUCUUGUUCAAAAGAAGCUGCUGCUUAUGCCUCCUGUGUUGCUUGCAAAGAUGAUAUUAAAAAGAAUGACUGCAGUUCUGAAUUUGAAAAACUGAAAACAUGCUUUCAGAAAAAUAUGAAGAAUUUAAUUAUGAAGAAAUCAUGACAGAAAUAGAAUGUUAAUAAAUAUUAUCUGUUAAAUAAUCUGUAUAAUAUAGAUAAUGUGUUAAAAAUAGAAUGCAUUUCAUUUAUUAGAUAUAAACUUUUUAUUACAAAAAUAUUGAUUUUUUUUUUUUUUUUUUGGAUAAAAAGGAGUUUCUUUUUAGUGCUACAACUGUUAUAAUGCCAAAAUUAAAUUUUCAUUUUUUUUAAAGUUGUAGUUUAUAACUGAGAAAUUUCUUUGGUCAAUCUCGUAUAUAGGAUGUCAUAGAACCAACCUUCUCUAUAAAGGGGCUUAAGUGUGAAGAACUCCUUUUGUGCCCAAAAUUUUUUGUAAAAUAAAGAAAAAAAAAUUACAUGAAUAAACAUAUAUUACUAAUAUA